rnacentral:pre_miRNA from 1 species
GAAGUACUCCCUCAAUCCCAAAAUUCUUGUCUUAGAUUUGUCUAGAUACGGAUGUAUCAAGUCACAUUUUAGUAUUAGAUACAUCCGUAUCUAGAAAAAUCUAAGACAAGAAAUUUGGGACAGAGGGAGUAGUUG